rnacentral:misc_RNA from 1 species
GGAGUUCUUGCAUCUCUUGGAUUAUGGCAAAAAGAGGCCAAGAUUCUUUUCUUGGGUCUGGACAAUGCCGGCAAGACUACCCUCCUUCACAUGUUGAAAGAUGAGAGACUGGUACAGCACCAGCCCACCCAGCACCCAACAUCGGAGGAGUUGAGCAUAGGGAAGAUCAAGUUCAAGGCUUUCGAUUUGGGUGGUCACCAAAUCGCUCGCCGUGUCUGGAAAGAUUACUAUGCUAAGGUGGAUGCAGUGGUUUACUUGGUGGAUGCAUAUGACAAGGAGAGGUUUGCAGAAUCAAAAAA